AACUUUUGAUAUUAUUGUUGAGGAACCAGCAGUAGAGCAAGUGACACCUGAACCGGUGUUGAGAAGAUCAUCCUGUACUAUCAGAGUACCAGAUAUGUAUG